GGCAACAAUGUUACACAAUGCCAUGCCAUCGUGCGCGGCAUGAGUAUACACAUUUAUAUAAACCAUACAUACGUAGAAAUUUCCCAGAACACUAUGCGAAUCAUGGGCAAGGUGGCUGCAGAAGUGACCAAAGAGACAUAUAAAUAUGCUGAAAUAGGAGCUGGCAACAAGAGAGAAAACGCAACUGAAGCGCUGACUGUAACAACAGCGACGCCCAGCGGCCAAGAACGAAGAACUGCAUUAAACCAUUAUUUAAACCAUUAUUAAAGCAUUGUUUAACAUUGUCAUUAGAAAUGAAUUAUAGGCCAAUGUAAAAAAGGUUCUGUGCCAUAAAAUACUAAUUUUAAAA